AUGGUGAAACUUAGUUUCUCUUUAAUGAUACUUGAAAAACUAAUCACUUUUCUUCUCCAGGAUAAUCAUAAUCAUCUCUGCUCUUUUAUUUUAGCUGUCUCCAACUGGACAUCCAGGGCACCUCUCCUGUUCUUUCUGACUCUUGAAUUGGAAGCUAACAAGACUCUACAGCCUGGAAAAGAAGUAAAAGCCAAUCAUCCUGAGGCCAGUGGUGGCCAGAAGAAGAUGGAAUCAAGAGGUCAGAGUCUUGCAGUUAACAUAGAAACCAGGCUGAUCCAGGCUACAUCCUAGCCUAGAUUGGAAGAAAAACAAGAAUGCACUUUAAAAACCACUUCUGGUUUAUAAGGUGACCCAUCAAUCCUCACAGUGACAGGAAUCAAGAUGAUUUUGUCUGCGGGGUUUCAUUUAUUAAAAUUUAAUUUGCUCCUGCGCUUGGCUCUGGUCGCUCUGUGCUAGCAAACUAGCUAUAAUUAGAUUAGCAGCCUGCUAAACGCUGGUGACAGCUGAGCCUCAGAGAGCAUGUGCCGGAUUCCGCCCCAGCCGCUCCUCAUUGGUUGCCAGCCUAGCUGCUCGCCGGUUUGAUAGGUUUCCACAGAACUCUUUAUGCUGCAUUGGAGACACGGAUACAGAAAUACUCCGCUGCGUCCUGGCCACGGCCGAGGUGCUUAGCUGGUAACGUUACAGAAGGAAUCGGGCACCCAGGAGAAGGCGGUCGUCUUUGUUGUGAGAGCAGGGCAGUCACUGGCUGCCGAAAGGGCUCAGGGAAAAAGUUUCAGCUCAUGGUAAUUACUUUGCAUCUUUAUCUCGCCUGCAAAACACGGCCAUGCAUGAAAUGAAGCGUGCUCAUCAUGUCAUCUGCUUAAUUUGAUCUUGCUUUUGUUAAUAUCACGCACCCCUCCAGCGUUCCAUCUCAAAUAAGCUCUCCCGGAGGAGGCUGAACUGGUAAACAACCAGCUUCUUCGGGGCGGGAACCUUGUUUUUACCUGGAUGCUAGAGUGCAAGUGCUAGGGAGCGAAUCUUACUGGUUUCUUUGCGGUUUGGGGGAGCCCGACGCUGCAUCCAUUUAGGUGUCUCUGGAGGUGCGUUUUGGUACCCGGGCGACUUUGUUUGCACGGGUCCGGACUCUCCUGAAUAAUGAACCCUGGAGGAGAGUUGGGAGAAUCACACUUUAAUUAGGACAGAGCGGUGGCCCUCCUGGUGUCAGCGCAGGGUCUCAGCAGAAGUAACCUCUAUUGUUUCUUCAAAGAUCUGUGCAGCCUUCAUUUUGGAUGGGUUCUCUUUGUUUCCCCUUCUGUAGUUUUCAUGAAGCCUCUUUCUUGUAGAGGAUGUUUGCAUAUCCCAUUCUUCCAGAGACACUGCAAGGUGUGUAUUCGCCCGGUGCCAGACAGAAUUUUUGGCUCAGGCUUUGUUUAACAGGGAUGCUGUUAUGGGGAGUUGACAUCACAGAAGGUGGGGUUCUUGCCACUUUGACUGAUGUUUAACAACACUGAAAAAUUUCUCUUUGUGGUUGCCUGGAUGAUUUUGUAAAUCAAACAGGAAAUAAUCUUGAAUUCUCUAAUAAAGAUGUUGCAUUGGGAAGAAGAAAAUAUUUAAACAGCCAAGGCUGAGCUUAAAGAAACGCAAGCAAAUGCAAUCGAAGUGUUUGCUUUUCAGCGUAUCUAGAGUACAGCUUCUCUGCGGAGUUCUGUUUUAUUGGGAAAGAGCCCCCUUGCCACUGUUUAGCCCCCAGACUUAAAAAUUGAUGUCCUCACCAUAUCAGACGGUGGAGACCACAGAAACUUGUGUAUUGAGUCACCAGUCACACGGCUGGCUGACUGCCACCAUGCGUCUGGGAUCGGUGGAGAACCCUGCUGGUAUCUGAAAGCCGUCAGGAAUUAUCUCCCUACUCCUGAAAAGCCAGACGUUGCCAUUUAAGAAUCUGGUUAAAAUAAUUGCUUUGAAUUGAAGCUAUAAUCUGGCUCAAGGCGUUCAGUGUGUUCUUUGGUGG
ensembl:lncRNA